GGAAUAUUCCGCAAUGGGCGAAAGCCUGACGGAGCAACGCCGCGUGAGUGAAGAAGGUCUUCGGAUCGUAAAGCUCUGUCAACAGGGACGAAACAAGACGGUACCUGAGAAGGAAGCCACGGCAAACUACGUGCCAGCAGCCGCGGUAAUACGUAGGUGGCAAGCGUUGUCCGGAAUAACUGGGCGUAAAGCGCAUGUAGACGGCAUGAUAAGCCAAAUGUGAAAUGUAGGGGCUCAACCCCUACACUGCGAUUGGAACUGUCAAGCUUGAGUGCAGGAGAGGCAAAUGGAAUUCCCAGUGUAGCAGUGAAAUGCGUAGAGAUUGGGAGGAACACCAGUGGCGAAGGCGAUUUGCUGGACUGCAACUGACGUUGAGAUGCGAAAGCGAGGGAGACGAAA
rnacentral:rRNA from 1 species